UUGCCCAGUCUGCAGAGUUCGGGUUGGAUCUAGUAGGAGACGAGGCAUAGUCACCCGUUUUUCGGCCAGUUUUCAUCAGUAGGUUACCUGUUCAACUUACUCGUGUUUUCUUGCUUCCGCUUGUGUUUAGUAGCUCUGAAUACUUUAGAAUUUUUGUAUUUUAUGCGAUGUUCAGAAGUGAUAAAUUAAGAGUGUAAUUUGAAAUUUUUGAGUUAGGGUUGUCCAUCUGCAAGGGAGAUUUUCUUAAUCUUUUCAGUAAAUUUUCCUUGGAGGUGGUCCCCGCACGACUUACUCUGAGUUUCAGGGUGAAAUUCGGGGUGGGUCGUGUCAUAUUGUGUCGGUUUUGAUCCCUUCCUUUGAAGGUGACUCAUGGCACUGCAUCCUCAAGGAGGAUCGCCCACGUGUUUCCAGUUAAGUCUUCUACCCUAUAGCGGAUUUUUCAUCAUCAAUUGUUCAACUAGGCUCAUCCAAGCUCAGUGUGAUGUCUUAGAAUUGUCCGAAAUUAAGGAGAUAGUGGUUUUAAGUGUGCCUCGCACUACCGACCCUCCACGGACAUGCCUGGUCAUACUGGCUCCAAACCACAGGAGCAUGCGUUUGCUAAAUGUAUUGAAACGCACAUGGACUCUACUUGAUUUGGAAGGGAUAUGGUGAAUUAUGCCUUUGCGUGUUCAUUCCGGAUUUACAUGGACUCUUGAUGGAUCAAGCGAUGCCAAUAUGUAUCAACAUCCGAAGAAAAAAUCUUGGGAAGACAUGGUCUCGAUAAGGCACUCGAUGACUGUAUUGAUGAUGAUUUUCCAUCAAUCGGCUUCGGCGCUCUAUAACUAGUGAGGCCUACAUAUACUCCCAUGAUUAGUCAAGGUCUUUGCUCUAAAGAGAGAUCCGUUGUUUUGUUUAAAGCAAGAUGACAAAUAUGUGUUAAGAGAUGGAGUUCCCAUCUAAGUACAAUAAGACGCAUCAAUGUACUCAACACAAUACGAAAGACUUGACAUCUCAUUCGCUAUGAAAAGUUGUAAAGCUAAGUGUAGCUAUGCACCCACGCAACUCCAAUGUAAUGGCAGUAACUCCUUUUUCAAUACUUAAU
rnacentral:lncRNA from 1 species